rnacentral:rRNA from 1 species
AGAGUUUGAUCCUGGCUCAGAAUCAACGCUGGCGGCGUGCCUAACACAUGCAAGUCGAACGAGAAAGUGGAGCAAUCCAUGAGUAAAGUGGCGACCGGGUGAGUAACACGUGACUAACCUACCUCCGAGUGGGGAAUAACUCCGGGAAACCGGGGCUAAUACCGGAUAACAUUUUGCACCGCAUGGUGCCAAAUUGAAAG